UUAAACCUCCUUACCACGGUGAAUACAUUGGUUCUCGUCCGAUCAUCGAAGUUAACCAACGUCGGGCGCGGUCAGUACUUGGAUGGGUGACCGCCUGGGAACACCGCGUGCUCUAAU
rnacentral:rRNA from 1 species